GUCGGGAGUUAGGAAAUGCAGGUGCGUUAAUAGCGCACUUGCUUGACUAAGGCUCCAGAGGAAGCCACGGCUAACUCUGUGCCAGCAGCCGCGGUAAUACAGAGGCGGCAAGCGUUGUUCGGAAUUAUUGGGCGUAAAGAGCACGUAGGCGGCCUUGCAAGUCAGUUGUGAAAGCCUUCCGCUUAACGGAAGAACGGCAUCUGAUACUACAGGGCUUGAGUACGGGAGGGGAGAGUGGAACUUCUGG
rnacentral:rRNA from 1 species